rnacentral:rRNA from 1 species
GACGAACGCUGGCGGCGUGCUUAACACAUGCAAGUCGAACGGAAAGGCCCUGCUUGCCGGGUACUCGAGUGGCGAACGGGUGAGUAACACGUGGGUGAUCUGCCCUGCACUUCGGGAUAAGCCUGGGAAACUGGGUCUAAUACCGGAUAGGAGCCAUUUUUAGUGCGAUGGUUGGAAAGUUUUUUCGGUGUAGGAUGAGCUCGCGGCCUAUCAGCUUGUUGGUGGGGUAAUGGCCUACCAAGGCGGCGACGGGUAGCCGGCCUGAGAGGGUGGACGGCCACAUUGGGACUGAGAUACGGCCCAGACUCCUACGGGAGGCAGCAGUGGGGAAUAUUGCACAAUGGGCGCAAGCCUGAUGCAGCGACGCCGCGUGGGGGAUGACGGCCUUCGGGUUGUAAACUCCUUUCGCUAGGGACGAAGCUUUUUGUGACGGUACCUAGAGAAGAAGCACCGGCUAACUACGUG